CAAAGACCUGCCGCCCCUCUCUCAUCUCUUCCUCUUCUCCGGCGAGACGCAACAGUAGCAACCAACAACUUGGCGAGGUGAGCAGUCGGCGAAAGUCGCCUGGCAGGCGUCUCUCACUCUUCUCCUCUCUCUAGCGUCGCCUCCUCCAUCCCUCUCUCCUCACCUUCUCUUUCUCUCUUCCUCUCUGGCCAGCAGCGAGGAGGACGAAGCCAGCUGCUCCGAGUAGCGAUCAUCGAGCCGGCAAGAGUAGCGACAACAACAACCAGCGCGAGAGCCAGCUCUGACUCUGGCGAGCUACUGGUGAAACAACAGCGCACCAGCAGCAACGACAACAACGAACCAGCAAGGCCCUCGUGUCUCCAUUCCUUUCAUCUCCGGCGAAGUUUGAGUUCAAAGAUGGAUCUCAAAAGAUCUGUCCUACAGGGGUUUGAACUUUGAGUUCAAGUGUUGAAGAGUUGACAUGGGAUAGGAUUCCGGACGGGAUGACUUUAUGCUUUACAUUUUGAAUUUGUACUUCGUAUUUAUAUUUCACUUUAUUCAGUUUGUAAUUUGUAUAAACCUCUAACUCUCUCCAUACAUGAUAUAACUUGGGGAUCGUCUAAGGGGGAAAUGGGGAUUUAUGUGCUACGUGUUUACUUUAUUGCAAUUUGGUUGUGUUAGAAAGUAUGUCGAUAGGUUGUGUUCGCCUACUUGCUCACUGUUUGAUAUUUUCUGUGUAGAUUAAUUGAUUUUCCUUAAAUUUUUGGUUUAAAUA